AACCGCCGCCUGCGCGCCGGCUGCCCCUCGGCUCCUGGGAGCCGCGGCGCUACGGGCCUGCCGAGCACUCGGGCGGGCGCCGAGCAGGCUGGGCCCCGGCGCAGUGGCCUAGCCUGGACCGCAAGGCCGAAGCCGCCUCCGGGCCGCGUCCCGGUGUUUCGGGUUGUGUAACCUUGGCCAAAAUGCUUAAGCUUUUUUCCUGGCUGCCAAAUGGGGCCGAUCGUCUGACCUGCUGCCUCCGGAACUUGAGGGAUCAGAUCAAAUAACCCUUUCCUGGCGCUCGUCUGCCGCUGUGAAUGAAUCACGGGCUCCUGUAAUCACCGUUAGGAGAGAUUGUUAAACUCGUACAGGGUUGGAUGUUUUAAAGUUACUGAAUAUUUACUGGACCCCUACUGUUCAAUCAAGACAUGCUAAGUUAGCUUGCCAUUCUUGUUCAUUUAUGUGUUUACUUAACUAUUUCUGGGUCUCCUCUUCCCAGUCAUAAAUAUCUCUUGGAGUGUAAGCUCCUCGGAGCAGAGAUCCUGUUUCCGUAUUUCCUGUACCUAGAACAGUGCCAGAUCCGUAGUAGACACUGAAACAAAAAAUCUUUAAAAAAAAAAAAAUAUACGAAUGUGGCACCACCAUUUACACAGGCCACUAAGCCAAAAAUCUCGAACUUGUCAGAUUGUCUCUUCUCAGCCAUCAGCAGUCAACAAGUUCUAGCAUUUGGUCUCUUAAAAGUGGUUCAAGAGUUUAUUUUUCCUCUCCUUCCUCUGCCAGUACCAACCAGUCUUCCGUAUCACUAUGUAUUGCAAGAGUCUCACAAGAAGAUAUCCAUCACUGACUGAUCUUCCUCCCGUUUAACAUCCCCAACAGGUAAAUAAAUCAUGGAGUCACCACGAGGGCGUUCAUCUGCCAGGCACUAUUCUGAACGAUAUUGGCUCAUUAAAUUCUCACAGAAACCCUAUGCAGCAGGUACGGUGAAAAUGUUCCUGUUACAGAUGAGGUAACUGAAGCACAGAGAGCUUGAGUGGCUUGCUGAAACACCAGACCCACUCAGUCUGGCUCCAUAAUAGGUCUUUUUGCUGGUAAUGAUUUACCAACUAUACAGCCACUUUAAAAAAAGGAAAUAGGGCCCUUGUGACUGGACCUCAUGCCAAACAACUCGUUACAAAAAGAGCUAGGGUUCCAGACUGCGCCGAAGCUUCAUGAGACCUCUCCUUGUCUGCAUGGACGAGUGGCCAACUCUGGAGCCCAGGCUGUUGCUUCCCAGUCUGGUGGUGAAUCCUCCAUAGUCUGAAAUAAAUCUGUUACUGAUGCUUCCUCCACCAACCAGCUGCAAAACCACACACUAUUCUUUGAAGGAGGAACACAGAAAACCAACUUACUUCCUGGGGCAUUUGGGAGAGGAAUCUAAAAAUCCUAGUGAUAUGGCAAUGACUAGAACCUUUUUUUUUUUUGUAACAACAAAGCUAAAAGGGGAUGUGUAACUUAGCUUGACUUGUAAAAAUAUUCGUAGAAGUCAUCUAUAUUUUACCACUUUGUGUAACUAAGGCAGAGCAUUAGAGAUUAUUCACAUCAUUAAAUAUGUCCAGUUAAAUUAUUAGAUUACAACACCAACCUCUUGUUCAUAGUCUCUCAGUCUUCAGCUGGGCACGGGGGCUCACGCCUGUAAUGCCACCACUUUGGGAUGCCGAGACGGGCGGAUCACUUGAGGUCAGGAGUUUGAGACCAACCUGGGCAACAUGGUGAAACCCCGUCUCUACUAAAAAUACAAAAAUUAGCUAGGCGUGGUGGCAGGUGCCUAUAAUCCCAGCCACUCGGGAGGCUGAGGCGGGAGAAUCACUGGAACCCAAGAGGUGGAAAUUGCAGUAAGCCAAGAUGGCACCACUGCACUCCAGCCUGGGUGACAAGAGCAAAACUCUUGUCUCAAAAAAAAAAAAAAAAAAAUAGUCUCUCAGUCUUCAUACUUUGUUGCUUAGUUGGAUUAUCUGCUCCUAGGUUUUAAUAUAAGAUGAAAUAAAAGUGCUGGCCUAGGAAUUGGAGGCCAAUUUACCUUAGGGGCAAAGGCAAUGGUGGUGAAUAUACCCAACAGCUUCACUUUCUAUGGAGCCAGCUUGUAAAAUCUUGGGCAAGGAUGGUGGCAGCAGAGCUGUCUGCCUAAGCAUCAUGUAGAAAAUUUUUUAAUGGUUUCUUUGGACCCUAGCUUGCAGUGUCAUUUCUGCUUCUCAUUGUAUUGGAAAUCCAUGGUUUUGUUACAUAAUGUACUCCUAAAAAUGUAUACACAUGUGUUGAGUAUGUGGAAGUUGAAUAUAUUUAUGUUAUAAAUGAGCAGUUCUGUUUCUGGAAAAUGAAAAUUUUCACCUCAUCACUACAGACAUUCUUUGAUAACACAGUCCCAGUGUUUCAUCCAGAUUAUUUCAUUUUCUUCUUUUACAUAUAACCAACCAUUUUGGAUGUUAAAGGAACAACCAGUGAGGGCUUAAGAUCUGCUGCUUUUGACUUGGCACUCCUGAUCAGUUCCAUCCGUGUCUCAAGUGUAUCACAUUCACGAGACAAGGCUUCUCAUCAGCAAUUUCAAUUUUAUGUUUUCUACUUAUUUUUAUAUAAGAAUACAAUGCAACAAAAUAUUCAUAUAUUGCAC
rnacentral:lncRNA from 1 species